GACGAACCGUACGAACGUUAUUCGGAAUCACUGGGCUUAAAGGGUGCGUAGGCUGCGCUGUAAGUUGGGUGUGAAAGCCCUCGGCUUAACCGAGGAAUUGCGCCCAAAACUGCAGUGCUCGAGGGAGAUAGAGGUGAGCGGAACUUAGGGUGGAGCGGUGAAAUGCGUUGAUAUCCUAAGGAACACCUGGGGCGAAAGCGGCUCACUGGAUCUCAUCUGACGCUGAUGCACGAAAGCUAGGGUAGCGAACGGG
rnacentral:rRNA from 1 species